AUGGGAGCUCUGUCAUGGAGCUACCAGCAUCUUAAUGCGCAGAUUAGACAAUGCUUUGCUUACUGUAGUAUGUUCCCUAGAGGACAUCAUUUGAGACGUAAUGUGUUAGUUAAGUUGUGGGUGGCAGAAGGGUUUAUAAGAAGUACUAAUGCUGGGAAGGAAAUGGAAGAUGUUGGUCAGGAUUACUUUGACGAACUUGUGUCAAUCUCAUUUCUGCAAUAUGGGGGAAAAGAGUCCUGCGGUGAGGACUACUAUUUAAUGCAUGAUCUUCCGUACGAUUUAGCAGAGAGGAUCGCUGGAGGCGAUUACUUUAGAAUUGAGGACGGGUGGACAGGAGAAAUUCCUCCAGGUGUUCGCCAUCUUUCUAUUGAUACCUAUAAUGGGGAUAAGCUUGCCAUGAAGACUAUUGAAUUGAAAAAAUUGCACUCUCAUCAUCAAAGAUAUCCAAUUAUCGACACAAGAUGA
rnacentral:rRNA from 1 species